GAUACUACGUACAUUUUUCGGAAUAUAGUUUUUAACUUCAGAAAUGUGAGAACAGAAUCGCUGUUUGAGAUUUAAUAAUCAUAUUUGUUUUAAAUGUGUAUAAAUCAUGUUAAAUAUUUGUGCAUGGAUGCUACCCAAUGAAUGCUAACUACCGUGCUGUUCUCUUGCAAUGUUUACUACAAGCGUUAAGUGCAUAUAUGAAUUGAGGUUGGCAUACCACUCUGACGAACGCGUUUCCCCAUGUUAAAUUGUCAGUGAAGUCGACUCAUAUGGUUCAGAUUGGCGUGACCUUGUAACGUACUAUGUUGGUAUCCAGACAGUUGUAGAAACGAGAAGCAGAGGUCAGUUCCACAAGUGGCGGAAGGAAACAAUAUGGCGCUGUGCUUUGUAGACAAGCGCACUGUCACAAAGAGGCUGCCACGACCAUGUCAGGGCAGUGGAGGUAGCAGGAAGGCGCCACUUGGGAAUGGGGUCCACGUGGCCGAUGAAACACACGUAGAGUGCGAACUCUAACACGCCUUGGAAUAAUAGCUGAAGCCAAAGGGGCGCAAUUCUUUGAAGCCGGGUCGCACGAACAUGCGGAAGCGGAAAUGUGUAACUCUCUAACAAAGAGGAUAUGUGGUGAUAUCAUUUGUCGUGCCCGUCGGUGCAUGUCAUUGACUGUAACGUAACGGUUAAUUGUUAUUGCUACUUCCUACUUGGGGAGAAUACAAUAUGUUUAAAGUUGUUUGAAAGGAAAAGAAAUCUUUGUUAAAUUACACCUCAGUGUAUUGUUUAAUAAGAUCAUAUUAUAUGUCCAUAUAUAGUCAUAUUCGAAAGUGAAUGAAAUGCGAAGCUACUUUUGUUAUUAGUUACCGACAAAGGUUUUUUAAUAUAUGCACUUUUAGACACGCGUUCACUUAGACACAAAAUAAUGUACUUUAUUCAUUCUAAACUAAAUGCUAGACUUUCAUCAAAUUUGUUUUCAAAAUGGGGUGGGGAGUAAAAUGUUUUACUUUUCAUUUUCACGACACUGGAGAUAUCGUACAUCGAGCAAUUUUUAUUUAUUUAUUUAUAUUUCAUAAUUUUGCCAAUAAGGAAAAAAACAAUGGCGGACCUCUAUACUCGGGGUGGACACGAAAGAAAAUUUUAAAUUUACUUUAUAAUGGCCUUAAUUAAGUUAAUAGUAUUCCAUUGCUCUACGAGAAAGUGUUAUUUCAUCAUUUGUUAUACUUGUUCUUAUAUAAAAUACUUUAACUGUGCGUGUUCUUAUUACGUGUAUCACACAUGUACAUACAUACAUGUGUAAUAUUUCGACAGAUGUUGACCAUAACGUAACGUCCGUUUACUCAUAUCCGCCUUGACUUGGGAACUGGCGUGAACGUGGAACCGGUACAUAUGUUUUAUAUUCAAUAAACAUUACAUAAAAAUGUUUCUUGUCAAAUAUAGAAUUUGUAACUUCUAAUGCUUUGUGGAUGGCCUUGUUUUCAUCCAAGAAAAAAAUAUAGAGAGCAAAACCUUUAAAGAUGGUGAUUGACUUUGGUGGCGUGUUUAUUUCCAAGCGAGUCCUAAGUACGUUGACUUAUGCACGCAGCACGGAUGUUUUUGUUUUAUUUUUCAUUUUUAUUUGUUUUGUUAGAUGGUAAUACAACUAGCUUAGAGCGUAAUAAAAUAUAUAU
rnacentral:lncRNA from 1 species